CACCGCCCACCCCCGGAAAGCAGGCAUGCAGGCAUGCAGGGCUGCUGCCGCCCCCCUCAGCCGAGCUCAUGAAGCCAGGAGACAUGGUCCUUCAAUGUUGUGACAAUAAAUUUAUGGACCAGUUAUUCAAUGGUGUGAAGAUCUGGUGUCACUGGUGAGGAUGAAGAUGUUCCCUACAGAUAUACAUUAGGUAUGGACAAGAUAUGGUCAUUUCAAAAGUUGUACAAAACAUUUGUCAACUUCAAACUGAACCUGGCUGCAGCCAUUUUUCUGUUCCUCGGUUGCCACACGGGGAAGGGGGGAAGGAGGUUGGAAUCCAUAAGACACAACAAAGAAGUUUCUCAUGAGAACCAAGGUCAUCUCUACUGGCAACAGUUAAGGUUGGGAAAGGAGUAGCUGAAGUACCCAAUUGGCCAACGUGACCUGUAACACUUGGAGCUGGGGUUAUUUCCUAGUUUAAUUAUACUGAAACUGCGGGAAAGAUUGAGAUUUGGUUUUCCAUUCAAGCUGUGCUGAUAUGAUGUACUCAUUAAAAAAGACCUUUGAGAAGAA